AUCUUUUACAGUGUCACUGCGCUCACAGACCUCCGAUGGCUUCCAGGGCUCUCGUUGCUCUUUAGGGAGCUUAUCCAGCUGCUGAGCUUUCAGAAUCGGAGAUGCUCUGAAGGUUCCUCGCACGGCCAACAUAAGAUACCUGGAGAAAGAUACAUCUUUAUCCAGGAUUCCAAAAAGGAUGGGGGGCAUCGAGGUGAAAAAGAGGUUGAAGAAGAUCAUCUGCCAGUAAUCUAUCAUAGUGGUCCCUGAGAAGCCACAGAAGAACUGGUACCAGAAGAGCAGGCUGACGUAGCUCUGUGAGAGAAGUGAACAAAAACCACCAAACGAUGCAUUAUGAGUAGACAGUCCCAACAUUUCGAACUUGCAAGAAAAAUUGCUUUUGCUACCUAGCAAGGUGAGUUUGGUCUCCAGAUGCUGUGCUGUGUCCAUUAGCAGCUCAUCUCUGUUGUCAAUCGCUGCCUCUGCCUCACGACGAAAAUUGGCCCAUUUCCGAAAGUCAUCUUCACUCAAAACCUGUGCAACAGGGAUACAGGUCUGAACUGGACUGAGUCAAUGAGAAAGAUUGACCAAGGUUUGCUAAUUUUAGCCGUUGGAGCAGCUGGUGAAUCCUCUCCAAGGAGAUCCCUGAUGGUUUCAUCAGUGGUGGCGCUGUAACCUUGAGACAUGAGAAGACAUUGGGAACAUUACACCUGAAAUUAAACAAGAAUGGACCACACAGUGCUGCUUAUAUUCUUCUCCAGGAUCAGCAGACUCCAUUUUCAUUAACUCUAUCAAAUGCCACGAAAGAAACAACAUCAUCAUCUGUUUCCUUCUCAGGAUUACACUGACAGCAACAUAUUAAAUGAUGAAACCAUCUCAUAUUUCAACAAAACAGCAAAACCUGUCAAGCAUAGAUGCACUCACAAAACAUUCAAGCUUGGAUAAUUCUUGUAGCCACCUAGCUCCAUAAUCCUAAAACCUCUCAAGAUAUAGCGAUAAAGUGUAAAACCCAUACAAGAGGCAUUAGGAAAUGUCUGGGAACCCAACUGGGUUUGCGGAGGAGGCAGCCAAGCUAAUGGCUGGCACCUCCUUGUGGCGGAUGUCCAGUGCAGGUACUCCAUAGGGAAGGUAUACAGUGACCGGAUAAUGGGUUGGAAAAGGACUUAAAAAGAGGUGUCAAUAAAGGAGCGAAUGGGGGAUGGUUUGGGACCCCUAUGAUUGAUACGGCAGGGAGCUAACCCCCAUUAUUAUAGUCCACCUUAACCCUCCUAUGAGGUGGUGGUGAAAGGUAAGGUCCUGUCAAUGGAUUUGCUUGAGUGACCUGGGUGGAAAAAGAGGGGGAGCUGGUAAAAAGCCCCCUUGGUAAUUAUGAAAUAAAUAUGGGGUUACCUGCACUGCACACUUUUAUCUGCCAGGUAGUCCCAGACAUCUAAUAAUAAAGGUGAGGCCUGAUUAAACCCAUGUCAAAUAUCUGCUGUCUUUCUUUCGGUAUAGCCAGACAAUAGAGUACUAACAGUAUGAAAACAUUUAAAAGUAACUAAUGCAGACUGCUUAUCACCGAUUCAUGUAAGACCACUUUCCAGUUGGCUUUGCAAUCACAGUAUAAUAGAAGUGGUUGGAAACUUUUUGACAAAAACACUUUUUGUUGGAAAAUGCUGAUUCAUUACAGAAAUGCGUUGGUUAUAAUUAAACUUUGAUCAGGAAGAUGUUUUAGGUCCAGAAAGAACUGCUGAUGAGUGAAAGAGACCCAUUUGCCCCAGAAUAGCCUAUAGCAGGGGUCGCCAACUUGAGCCUGAGAAGGAGCCAGAAUUUACCAAUGUACAUUACCAAAGAGCCACAGUAAUACGUCAGCAGCCCCCCCAUCAGCACCCCUCCUCCGGUCCCAGAGCCUCCUGACCACCGGCAGCCCCACCGAUCAGCGCCUCCCGCUCCCUCCCCACACCU